GAAACUCUCUCAAGGAUAUUGAAGGCAAAUGGCAGUAGUGGUAGUUGUAUAGGGCGGUAGCUGGAUGGAGAGUUGGGGUCAAGGUUGGUCUUUUUCAGAAUCAGAGUUAUGGCUGCAUGCUUGAACAGUGAAAGAAAUGUGCCAAAGGAAAGGGAGAGAUUGAAAAUUUUAGUGAGCAGAAGAGCAAGAGAGGGAGACAGAGUGCGGAUGAGAUAUGAGGGAAUAGAAUCGAGAGAACAGGUGGUGGGGUGGGAGGACAAGAGCAGAGCAGAAACCUCUUCCAUUGUAGUGGGUGCAAAUGAUCAUAGAACAGCAGAGGGAGAGAGAUUAGGGAUAGUAGAAAUCUUCUCAGUGAAUUGAGGUGCAAAGUUUGAGGCAGACAGAGUGGUAGGAGGAGGGGGAGCAACAGGGUGAAGGAGAGCAUUAAAAGUGUGAAAUAGACAUUUGGGUUGGUAGGACAGUGUGCUUAUGAGGGUGUUGAAGUAAUUUAAUUUAGUAUAGGGAAAGAGCCAGACUGUAGGAGCGCAUCAUAAAUUUAUAGUGG